rnacentral:misc_RNA from 1 species
GAAAUGCGAUACGUAGUGUGAAUUGCAGAAUUCCGUGAACCAUCGAAUCUUUGAACGCAAAUUGCGCCCAAGGCUCCGGCCGAGGGCAUGUCUGCCUCAGCGUCGGCACACCCCCUCGCCUCCCGCCUCGGUGGGAGACGGACCUGGCUUUCUCGGCUUGGCUUCUUUUUCGGAAGAGCUGUGCCGGGUUUGCUGAAGCGAAGAGGCUUGAGCAGCGACCCCGAUUGCAGGGCGACGGCUUGGUAGGUAGGUCUUCCUACACAUCCACCGCCGCCGCCCGAGGGGCUCCUGCUGGGAGCCAUACUGGCUGGGGGUGCGUCUCCUCGGAGGCGUGCCCCCCCACUCUUUCAUUUCGACCUGAGCUCAGGCAAGGCUACCCGCUGAACUUAA